rnacentral:lncRNA from 1 species
UAUUGCAGUGGUCUGGAACAAACCCCACAAUCCGUGUUUAUAUAUAUAUAUUUUUGUGUGUGUACACACAGUUGACCCUUGAGUGACACUGGUUUGAGCUAUGUGGUUUCACUUAUACACAGAUUUACUUCUGGCUCUACCACUCCUGAGACAGAAAGAUAACACCUCCUCCUCUUCCUCAGCCUAUUCAAUGUGAAGAGGAUGAGGAUAAAGACCUUUAUUUUGAUCCACUUCCACUUAAUUAAUAGUAAAUGUAUUUUCUCUUGCUUCUUUUUUUCUUUUUUUGAGAUGGAGUCUCCCUCUGUCUCCAGGCUGGAGUGCAGUGCAUGAUCUCGGCUCAUUGCAACCUCUGCCUCCCAGGUUCGAGUAAUUCCUGCCUCAGCCUUCCAAGUAGCUGGGAUUAUAGGUGGCUAAUUUUUGUAUUUUUAGUAGAGACGGGGUUUCACCCAUCUUGGUCAGGCUGGUCUUGUGCUCCUGACCUUGUGAUCCAGCCGCAUCAGCCUCCCAAAGUGCUGGGAUUACAGGGCGCAGACAAAAUGUGCCAUGAGUGA